rnacentral:rRNA from 1 species
UACAGAGACCUCAAACGUUAUCCGGAAUCACUGGGCGUAAAGCGUACCGAUCGGUGGUUUUGUAAGUCUUUGGUGAAAGCCUGGAGCUCAACUCCAGAAUCGCCAAGGAAACUAUAAGACUAGAAGUGCAAAGAGAGAGCUGGAACUAUGGGUGUAGCGGUGAAAUGCGUUGAUAUCCAUAGGAACACUAAUAGCGAAGGCAGGCUCUUGGGUGCAUCUUGACACUGCUAGGACGAAAGCGUGGGGAGCGAAUGGG